rnacentral:lncRNA from 1 species
AUAGAAUUCUCAGCUCUGCCUGGGCCAUGCCUGCCUGGAUGCUGCCACACUCCCACCUUGAUAAUAAUGGACUGAACCUCUGAACCGACCCCAAGGAGGAGAUGAGAUAGAGAUAAACUGAAUCAUCUUUUCUUGCUAUUAUGAAGACAAAAGUCACACCAAACAAGUCUGCUUGGAUGUUAUCAAGGAUAACAGCCUCUUUAAAAGGGACCUACAAUGAAUCAUUCCUCAUAUCAAAAUAACCAAAUGCCUACAAAGUCUGGCCAGCUAACAAAUAAAGUCACUGACAACCUGGACCUGUGGAGAAAGGGAGCUGAACCAAGACCACGAUGAACAUGCUGACGUUCAGUAGAAAUAUCACACAGAAAUAUCCCACAACCGUGAUAUAGAACACCACAUUGCUGUUGAUCCAGCAACUGGAUGGGGAAGAAGAGAAGAGGAAAAUAUAAUGGUGAAAAUAUGCUUGCUCCAAGUGAUGAACUGAAUCUAUAAUGUUUUGAUGAACAUGUUUUUCCCCUCAAGUAAAAAAAUAAAAAUAAAAAAAACAAAG